GAUGAAGAACGCAGCUAAAUGCGAUAAGUAAUGUGAAUUGCAGAAUUCAGUGAAUCAUCGAAUCUUUGAACGCACAUUGCGCCCUCUGGUAUUCCGGGGGGCAUGCCUGUUCGAGCGUCAUUAUAACCACUCAAGCUUUCGCUUGGUAUUGGGGCUCGCGGUUCCGCGGCCCCUAAAAUCAGUGGCGGUGCCUGUCGGCUCUACGCGUAGUAAUACUCCUCGCGAUUGAGUCCGGUAGGUCUACUUGCCAGCAACCCCCAAUUUUUACAGGUUGACCUCGGAUCAGGUAGGGAUACCCGCUGAACUUAAGCAUAUCAAUAAGCGGAGGA
rnacentral:misc_RNA from 1 species